AUUGAACGCUGGCGGCAUGCCUUACACAUGCAAGUCGAACGGCAGCGCGGGAGCAAUCCUGGCGGCGAGUGGCGAACGGGUGAGUAAUAUAUCGGAACGUGCCCAGUAGUGGGGGAUAGCCCGGCGAAAGCCGGAUUAAUACCGCAUGAGACCUGAGGGUGAAAGCGGGGGAUCGCAAGACCUCGCGCUAUUGGAGCGGCCGAUAUCAGAUUAGCUAGUUGGUGGGGUAAAGGCCUACCAAGGCAACGAUCUGUAGUUGGUCUGAGAGGACGACCAGCCACACUGGGACUGAGACACGGCCCAGACUCCUACGGGAGGCAGCAGUGGGGAAUUUUGGACAAUGGGCGAAAGCCUGAUCCAGCCAUGCCGCGUGAGUGAAGAAGGC
rnacentral:rRNA from 1 species